GACACUCUGGAGAAACCCGGAUCGCCCGGGGGCCGAAGGUGCAACGCCGAUUUCCCGCUCCGGGAUCCCGGCGAAUCUCUCAGGCAAAAGGACAGAGCG
rnacentral:ncRNA from 1 species